rnacentral:lncRNA from 1 species
GAGAGCUCACAGCCAAUUUCAUGAGACGGUGCUACAUUAUCGUGCCUUCUUGCAUGAGGAAUUCAAGGCCACAUGCGGUUUCGUCACUUGUCAAAGGUUAGUGUUGCUGAGGUUAGAACUGGGUCCCACUUUGAUCUGAUUCCAAAGCCUGAUCCCUUAACUAGUGUGUGGAGCUGACUGCAGGGAGACUGCUACACCCAGGAAGAGCUGCAGCUGUCUCAGAUCUUAAAACCAUUCAUCGGGAGAACUAGGAAAGGACACCUCUGGGCCUGCCUGUGAGCUGCUGCUAGAGAAGAUUAGCCGAGAACUGAGUGAAUGAGAGCCACCUUGAGAGGAGUGCCAUCUAACAGGCUGGAGGUCCGGGUGACGUGAGAAAGUAGAAAGGGGAAGCAAGCCCUGGAUUAUGAGUUUCUUCCCCAGUGGGUGUGGUUUGAUGCUGCCGAUUCAGAUGAACAUCACACUCCAGCAUCACACUCCAGCUUCUUCAGCCUUUGACAGACCUGCAGCAGUGAGAUGCAAGGACCUUGGAGGCCCUCACCCUCAGACCCAGGACAACCGUUGGCUUCUCAGUCUCUGUUCUCACAAGCAUCUUGUUCUGCGUUCCCUAGCUGACACCCAGCUCUCCAAUCUACAGAGGACUGCUGUGGCCCCACAGAGUACUCCAGACUAUUAGCUUCCUCUUGUUAUUGUAUAUAUUCCUUACCCUUAAUGGUCCCAAUACAAGGGUGAAUUAUCACUCUUCUCAGAUCUGUCACCAUCAAUCCAAUAAUGAAGAGAACCAUUUUCAUCUGAAUAAGCAAUUAACCUCCAAGUGGCAGCGUGGAACCAAGGUCUACAGUGGCUGCUGAGGUCAGACUUGAAGAAAUGACUCACAUGCAAGGCUGAUCUACAUAAGUAGCCUGUGCUAAGACUGCCAUCUGGUAGAACAAUCUACAUCACACGACUCCACGUUUCCUGUUACCCAAGCACAGUGAACCUCUAUCUGCACACAGCUUAUGAGCCAGAUGCAUGGGUCUUACUCCAUUAACUGGAACUAUGGUGCUCAGUGCUGAGAGAGUUCAUCGCAAGCCGAAGCUAUUGGACUUGCCACAGAGGGAAGCAGCAGCUGACAGUCACUGGCACAUCCCUCCAGCACCGACUGUGUUACCUAGCCAUCUGGAGCUCAAGAUUAAGGCAGGUUUGAUGAGAGAGCUGUGACCUGUGGACCUCCUGAGAAAAUGACAAUGAGGGGGUACCUGAUAUACACUUCAGGACAUAAUAACCUGUGGCUGGCGAAAAACUCUCCCAAAUUGCAUAUAAUUUACAAUGUGUGUAAUUUAAGUAAAUAGGUACUUCUCAAAAAAUUUUUUUUCUGUUCAUGGUACUCUCAUGUUGUAAAAACAAAACAAAACAAAACAAAACAAACAAACAAAAACAAAAACAAAGCUCGGCCUCUUGUUAGUUCUUUGUUUCUUCAAGAUUUAGAGAACAAAAUAAGAAGUAAAUGGUGAUACUACUCAAAAGUAACGUUUAUUCACCUUUCACCUGGAGAGCCCCUGGGUCAUAUUUUGAGCAAUAUACACAUCAUCUUCAUUCAGGCAGAGUUGAUUCCUGAAUCUAUGAAGAGAAGGUGAAGGAAGCAUUUCUCUAAUAAGUCCUAAGAAAAUGAGCUUAGCUGCAUAGAAUGGUGUGGCACAGCCUCAGAAAGGCAUUGUUUAGAUGGGAGCAUCACCGUUUGAGCCACAGUGGACUAAAGAAGGACUCUUCCUCAGGGACCUCCAGGGUUGGAUUGACAGAGAUGUAAUUUUUAAAAGUAGAGUCAGACUCCGAUAAUCAAUCUCUCUCUCUCUCUCUCUCUCUCUCUCUCUCUCUCUCUCUCUCUGUGUGUGUGUGUGUGUGUGUGUGUGUCCAUGCACAUGUGCACAUGCAUCAAGCAUCUUCUUCAUUCAUUUGCCACCCUGUUGUUUGAGACAGAGUCUCCCACUGGACAUAGAGCUCACUAAUUAACUAGACUGGCUGACUGACCUGUAAAACCCACAGACCCUCUUUCUCUGCAUCCCCAGCACUGACAUUACAUUUGGCUUUUCACAGGGACACUGGAGACCAAGUUUAUGUUCUCUAGCUUGUGCAGUAGCCCCUAGAACCUUCUUUCCAGUCUUCCAGGAGACUUUCAGUCUCUCAGUUCCCAGUGGUGACCAUGGCCUGCGAGUCCUAUCCUUAUUGCAUAAAUCUCUAAAGUCCCAGGGACUUCUCUAGUGAUUUAACAAAAAGGCAAAUAAAAAGGUGCAGCCACUCUCAAGGCAAAAGUAAAAAGUAACAACAGUGACAAGGGUCACUGCAGAGUUGUCAUUGAUGCCAACUGCAAGACAAUCUCAGGGUUGCAGUUAAGGUAAAGGUAAGCUUGGCUUUGGGAUCUACUUCAAAAUCCAGGAGUCCAUCUGAUAUAGUCAGCUUUACUCCCUGGAGACAUCUACCACCAUGGCUCUGGGAAGCCAGCCUGCAUGUCACAUUUCCCUUCGGCUGAUGUACAGAGAGGAUGACCCCCACUGACCACUGUGUAUGUCCCAUCUCAUGCCAGUGGGGCUGAGGGGAACAGAGAGUGCUAAAACAAAAGGAAGGCUCAUCUCACAGUGGAGUAACGAGACCUCCACAGUCCAUGGGCAGACUCUUAGUUCUAUCAUCCACACUGGAGAGGAUGCUUACAGCAGUCAUGGGUCAACGUGCAAAACCUUCCAUUCCCAUGGCAAACAGUAUUCGAAAGAGGAGCAAUGUACAAUUAAGGUUUGUUGGGAUUUUUAUUUUCUUUUCACAUGUGGCAAUAUUUAUCUUCAAAGUUUCCCCUCUGGCUCCCAGGCUCCUUUACGAAGCAGCUGGUCCUCUGGGGCCUCAUUGUGACAUGACUCGUGUGAUUCGGUAGCUUAUUUGUCCAGUGGUCGGGUGGAAUUUGUAAACUGCAUACUAUUGUUCUAGACUGUUUUCUCUUUAGUAAGAAGCCACCAUGCUUUCUCCAGCAUUCAAGACUGGGAUUCGAAUUAGUGGAGCACUUGAGAUAUUUCUAUCCCGACUUCGACUUCCUCUGCUCAGUAAUGACAUUAAACAAAACAAAUUAUCGCAAUUAAACAGAGAGAUGGCAAUGGGGCCUGGAAAGAGAAGUGGACUGGGAGAUUAAGAUGUGAUCCGGCUUCGUUUUCCGGAGGAGAGCUUGUUAACAAACGCUCAGAUCUAACUACUACAAGCUGUGAGCAUCUUCUAAUUAGUCCUGGCUGUUCUCGGGAAAACAAAGUAAAAUAUGGAGUCUCUUAAAACAGGCCUCUUUGGCUAACUUUGUCCCUAAACAGACAUUAAUAAAUGCUCUCAGUUACUUGUGACACUUUCCUUUAGUGAUGAAAUGGCUACAGAGCUGCCAGACCUAUUAAAAC